rnacentral:misc_RNA from 1 species
AGUCGACCCAAUUUUAUGUCUGAAUUUUCCGGUCACUGUGUCAAUUCGCGGGGUCGGUCUUUUUAAUAAUUGGAAUUAGGUUAUGAUUGGCAUUUUGAAAAAUUGUUCGGUGGCAUUUUCGCCACUGAAUUUCCAACCUUUCUCCGCUGUUCUGUGCCUCACGAAACUGAAAACAAAGCUUCUCAAAGCCAAGCCAAGCGACUACCAUUUCUCUUUCUCCCUCGCUCUGUACUGCGUCUACAAAUCCAAGAAAGCAAAUAACAAUCCCAUACUUCACUUGUUUUCCCAACUCUCAAAACUGCUCAAUUUUGAUUUUCUUCGGACUUCAGGUUGGAAUGAUUGGAUACAUUGUAAUAUUGUGAACUAUUAGGGGACUAAGAACAGCUUCUUGGUCCCCAUCAGAUGAGAACAGCUUCUUGGUCCCCAUAAGAUGAGUUUCAAUUUUGUCAAGAAGAGGCUGUGUGAGGGAUAAUAAUGAGCUUACAAUUCCAAUCCUCGUUUCUUGGGAUUCCGCUUUCCAGCUCUUUAAAUGGCCAAAACCAUGCCAAUUCCUUGUAUUUGGGAAGAGGUCCAUUAUCAAGAAGGAUAUUUCGCAAAUGUAUGUGCGCCAAAAAGCAUAAUGAAUGGAUUACUCAAGCGAUUAGGUUUUCAAAUUUUUGUGGCAAGUAUGUAGUGUUUGUAAGGAAUGCCAUUGGAUCAAGAAGUGGGUUGAAGGUGGAAUGUGUGAGAGAGCCUUUUGCUCAAAGCAAAGCUCUUGUGCGGUCGUUGGCUCCUUUGUGGAAAGAGGGAUUACUUCUAGUCAGAGGUUCUGUUUUUGUUGCUGUUAUAUCUGGGGUGUGCUUGUUGGUGUGGUAUGGGCAGAACAAAGCCAAGGGUUACAUUGAGUCCAAGCUUUUGCCUUCCAUUUGUUCAGUGCUUAGUGAUUAUAUUCAGCGUGAGAUUGAUUUUGGUAAGGUUCGGAUGGUUUCUCCUUUAAGCAUAACUCUAGAGUCAUGCUCAAUCGGGCCUCAUGGUGAAGAAUUUUCUUGUGGUGAGGUACCUACUAUGAAGCUCCGUCUUUGCCCUUUUGCAAGUUUGAGAAGGGGGAAGAUUGUGAUUGAUGCGGUUUUAUCGCAUCCUAGUGUUGUGAUUGUGCAAAAAAAGGAUUACACUUGGUUAGGUAUACCAUCAUCUGAAGGUUGUCUACAAAGACACUUAUCCACUGAAGAAGGGAUCGAUUAUCGUACCAAAACAAGGAGAGUUGCUAGGGAGGAAUUAGCUGCUUGCUGGGAAAAAGAGAGGGAUAAUGAUGCAAAAGAAGCUGCAGAGAGGGGUUACAUUGUUCCUGAGAGAGAUUCUAGCUUGUCUGAAGAUGAUGUUUGGCAGGAGGAUGCAACUCAUUUGAUAAAUUUAACAAACUACAAGUCUUUCUCAUGCAUGGAUGAAAAGAUGCACUGGAGGGAUCAUCACUGCAUGGAUACAGGUCUUGAUUAUGAUAUGAAGCAUGCUGAUUUGGAAAAAUCUUUUGGUGUAAAAUUUCCUGGUUCAGGUCUUAAAUUCUGGUCUAGUGUGAUUAAAGGAACCAAAAAACGCAAAUUUAAGAGGAGGGGUAAUGGGUGUGAUAACUCAGCAGCUGGUGUAAAUGCUAAAAGACGAAUCCUUGAACGCAGUGCAUCAACAGCAAUUGCGUAUUUCCGUGGCCUGUCCAAUGGGGAGUUUGAUGAACCUUCUCAAUCAUCUGAUGGUUAUGAUAUUAUGAAUCUUGACACACUUUUGGUGCAAAUCCAAGGUGAUAAUAAUGCAGACAUAUCUGUUGAUGCAAGUAGUGGGGAAGAAUGUUUACCUGCCGACAACUAUAAUGGAGAACCUGAUGAAAAUUCAGGAAUCCAGCCUCUCCCAAGGAAGCGGCAUUUACUUAGUCAUAUGUAUGAUUUCAGUCUUAUACGUGAUCCAUUUCUUAGAACUCUAGAUAGACUUAUUGAAGCUGCAAAAGUUGGUGAAAAUUUUCCAUCUAGCACAAAUGUUGUAGGAGAUGCUAAAACCAAUGGUGUAAAUGGUGAGGAUUCAUCAGUUGGUGUUGUAAAUAGAAAUAUGGAUGCAAAUACAUCUGAGAUUAAUAAUUAUACUUCUGAAAAGCUUUAUUCUGAGCCUGCAAUGGACCAUUCAGUUUCAAGUUCGUCCCUGAGCUUAAAUUCUGGCUUAUCAUCCUUUUCAAGAAAUAUAAGGGGAUUGCUAUCUUAUCUUUUGGUUGGUCCCAUUCAGAAACUGAGGUCAGGAUUGGGCCCAAAAGUUGAAGAUAUUGUUGCAGAGCUUGUUGAUGGUGUAGAUGUAGUGCCAAGUGAAGGAAUUGAGAAGAUGCUUCCAGUUUCACUAGAUUCUGUUCAUUUCAAAGGUGGAACACUAAUGCUGCUUGCGUAUGGUGACAGGGAGCCUAGAGAGAUGGCGAACGUCAAUGGACACUUGAAGUUCCAAAAUCACUAUGGUCGUGUGUAUGUCCAGUUGAGUGGCAACUGUAAGAUGUGGAGAUCUGAUGCAAUAUCUGAAGAUGGUGGCUGGUUAUCUGCAGAUGUUUUUGUUGAUAGUGUUGAGCAGAAUUGGCAUGCUAAUAUAAAAAUUGCCAAACUCUUUGCUCCGCUUUUUGAAAGGAUUUUAGAAAUUCCAAUUGCUUGGUCCAAAGGGAGAGCCACUGGUGAGGUUCAUAUUUGCAUGUCCAGAGGGGAGACAUUUCCUAAUCUUCAUGGUCAGCUUGAUGUGACAGGAUUAGCCUUUCAGAUAUUUGAUGCUCCAUCAUCAUUUUCUGACAUUUCAGCAAGUUUAUGUUUUCGUGGUCAACGGAUAUUCUUGCACAAUGCAAGUGGCUGGUUUGGCAGUGUUCCUUUGGAAGCUUCUGGAGAUUUUGGCAUUCAUCCAGAGGAAGGGGAGUUUCAUCUAAUGUGUCAAGUUCCUAAUGUUGAAGUAAAUGCCCUGAUGAAAACGUUUAAGAUGAGACCUUUAUUAUUCCCGUUAGCAGGUUCUGUAACUGCUGUAUUUAACUGUCAAGGCCCCCUUGAUGCUCCUGUAUUUGUGGGAAGUGGGAUGGUUUCCAGGAAGAUAUCUCAUUCAGUUUCAGAAGUCCCUGUGUCCUCUGCGUAUGAGGCAGUGUUGAGAAGCAAAGAGGCUGGUGCUGUAGCAGCAUUUGACCGUGUUCCAUUUUCAUAUCUGUCAGCUAAUUUCACAUUUAACACUGACAAUUGUGUUGCUGAUUUGUAUGGAAUCAGAGCUAGCCUCGUGGAUGGUGGUGAAAUUCGGGGGGCAGGGAAUGCAUGGAUUUGCCCUGAGGGUGAGGUGGAUGAUUCAGCAAUGGAUGUAAAUUUCUCUGGCAAUUUUUCCUUUGAUAAGAUCAUGCAUCGAUAUAUUCCAGGUUAUCUUCAGCUGAUGCCACUAAAAUUAGGGGACCUAACGGGAGAAACAAAACUUUCUGGAUCCCUUUUGAGACCGAGGUUUGACAUCAAGUGGAUUGCACCAAAAGCUGAAGGAUCAUUUAGUGAUGCUCGAGGAGAUAUCAUGAUCUCACAUGAUUAUAUUACUGUGAACUCUUCAUCUGUUGCUUUUGAGUUAUACACAAAAGUUCAGACAACUUAUCCUGAUGAAUACUGGCUAGACAGAAAAGAGUUUGAUGCAAAAAAUGGAAUACCAUUUACUAUUGAAGGAGUUGAGUUGGACCUACGCAUGCGUGGUUUUGAGUUUUUCAGCUUGGUCUCUUAUCCUUUUGAUUCUCCACGACCUACACAUUUGAAAGCAACUGGAAAAGUCAAAUUUCAGGGAAAUGUUCUGAAGCCUUCAAGUAUUGUUAAUGAUAAGGAUCUUCUUUCUGACAAGAAUGUGUCCCAUGGGCAAAUAGGGGUGAACAAAGAAAGUCUUGUUGGUGAGGUUUCAGUGUCAGGUCUUAGACUAAAUCAGCUGAUGCUGGCGCCUCAGUUGGUUGGGCAGUUGGGCAUAUCACGUAACCAUAUCAAGUUGGAUGCCAUGGGUAGGCCAGAUGAAAGUCUUGCAGUUGAGGUUGUGGCGCCCUUACAAUCUAGUUCUGAAGAAAACUCACAAAAUGAAAAAUUGUUGUCUUUUUCUCUUCAGAGGGGGCAACUAAGAGUUAAUGUGUCUUUCAGACCUCUACAUUCUGCUACCUUGGAGGUACGUCAUCUGCCACUGGAUGAAUUGGAGUUGGCUUCACUUCGGGGCACAAUACAAAGGGCAGAAAUUCAGCUUAAUCUGCAGAAAAGAAGGGGUCAUGGUGUGUUAUCUGUGCUUCGUCCAAAAUUUAGCGGUGUGCUUGGUGAAGCCUUAGAUGUCGCUGUUAGAUGGAGCGGUGACGUUAUCACUGUUGAGAAAACUGUUUUGGAGCAAACCAGUAGCCGUUAUGAGCUUCAAGGUGAAUAUGUUUUACCUGGCACCCGAGACAGAAACCUUGCUGGAAAGGAAAGAGGUGACCUGUUUAAAAGGGCAAUGACUGGACAACUGGGUAGCGUCAUAUCUUCUAUGGGAAGAUGGAGAAUGAGACUUGAAGUUCCUCGAGCUGAGGUUGCUGAGAUGCUUCCGCUUGCGAGACUUCUUUCUCGAAGUGCAGAUCCUGCUGUUCGAUCUAGGUCAAAGGACCUUUUCAUUCAAAGUUUGCAGUCAGUAGCAUUAUAUCCUGAAAGUCUUCAGGAUUUGCUUGAGGUCAUACGGGGACAUUGUACUCCAUCAAAUGAAGUCAUACUGGAAGACAUAAGUCUUCCAGGUUUGGCUGAACUUAAAGGCCGCUGGCAUGGUUCUCUCGAUGCUAGUGGUGGAGGCAAUGGUGACACUAUGGUAUAAAUUUUCAGUUUUUGCAUGAAGCGAUAAUCUCAAAUUAUGUAUUAUCUGCCUUUUCACAACUGUACAUGUGUGUAUUCCCAGGCAGAAUUUGACUUUCAUGGUGAGGAUUGGGAAUGGGGAACCUACAAAACUCAGCGUGUUCUGGCAGUUGGUGCAUACAGCAACAAUGAUGGUUUGCGCCUUGAGAGAAUCUUUAUCCAAAAGGAUAAUGCCACAAUCCAUGCUGACGGCACUUUGUUAGGGCCCAAAACCAAUCUUCAUUUUGCUGUUCUGAAUUUUCCUGUCAGUCUAGUUCCAACUGUGGUUCAGGUGAUUGAAUCUUCAGCUUCUGACACAGUUCAUUCUUUGAGACAACUUUUAGCUCCAAUUCGAGGAAUAUUGCAUAUGGAAGGAGAUCUCAGAGGAAGUAUUGCAAAACCAGAAUGUGAUGUGCAAGUAAGGCUCUUGGAUGGUGCCAUUGGUGGCAUUGAUCUUGGACGAGCUGAAAUUGUUGCUUCUCUAACAUCGACUAGUCGUUUUCUAUUCAAUGCCAAAUUUGAACCAAUCAUCCAAAAUGGCCAUGUACAUAUUCAAGGAAGUGUUCCCAUCAAUUUUGUCCAAAAUAACUCAUUGGAGGAAGAAGACAUAGAAACAGAUAAAACUGGAGCAACUUGGGUCCCUGGUUGGGUGAAGGAAAGGAGUGGAGAUUCCACUGAUGAAGCCAGUGAAAAAAAAAAAUUUCGAGAUAGAAAUGAAGAAGGUUGGAAUACUCAAUUAGCAGAAAGCCUAAAAGUCCUGAAUUGGAAUUUCUUAGAUGUGGGAGAAGUUAGGGUUGAUGCUGAUAUCAAGGAUGGGGGAAUGAUGAUGUUGACAGCUUUAUCUCCUUAUUUCAACUGGCUUCAUGGCAAUGCUGAUGUUAUGCUUCAGGUAAGAGGUACAGUUGAACAACCUGUUCUUGAUGGAUUUGCAUCAUUCCACAGAGCAUCUAUAACUUCACCAGUACUUCGAAAACCACUUACAAAUUUUGGUGGGACAGUACAUGUAAAAUCAAAUAGGCUAUGCAUCACUUCACUGGAAAGCCGGGUCAGCAGAAGAGGAAAGUUAUUUGUAAAAGGCAAUCUACCCCUCAGAACAAGUGAAGCAUCUCUUGGCGAUAAAAUUGACUUAAAAUGUGAAGUCCUGGAAGUACGGGCAAAGAAUAUUUUGAGUGGCCAGGUUGACACUCAGUUACAAUUAACUGGUUCUUUGCUACAACCAAACAUAUCAGGAAAUAUUAAGUUGAGCCAUGGAGAGGCUUAUCUACCACAUGAUAAGGGUAGUGGAGGUUCUGCUUUUAAUAGAUUGGCAUCAAGUCAGUCCAGGCUUCCUGUUAGGGGGCCCAAUCGAGCAGUUGCUUCCAGAUAUUUUUCACGGUUUUUCAGUUCAGAACCUGAUGCUUCAGGGACCAAGUUCCCUCAAACCUCUGUUAAAUCAACUGAAGCUAAGAAGGACUUGGAGCAACUUAGCAUUAAACCGAAUGUAGAUAUUCGCCUUAGUGAUUUGAAGCUUGUGUU